rnacentral:tRNA from 2 species
CGAGUUAUUCUUAGGGAUGUUUGUUAUUUACAUUAACAAUUUGGUUGUGCAAUUCAAUCUAACUUGA